GUGCCAGCCGCCGCGGUAAUACCGGCAGCCCGAGUGAUGACCGAUCUUAUUGGGCCUAAAGCGUCCGUAGCUGGCUACGCAAGUCCGUCGGGAAAUCCACUCGCCCAACGAGUGGGCGUCCGACGGAAACUGCAUAGCUUGGGACCGGAAGGCUCGAAGGGUACGUGCGGGGUAGGAGUGAAAUCCCAUAAUCCCGCACGGACCACCGAUGGCGAAAGCACUUCGAGAAAACGGACCCGACAGUGAGGGACGAAAGCUGGGAUCUCGAACCGGAUUAGAAACCCCUGUAGUCC
rnacentral:rRNA from 1 species